rnacentral:rRNA from 1 species
UGGGGAAUAUUGCACAAUGGAGGGAACUCUGAUGCAGCGACGCCGCGUGAACGAAGAAGGCUUUCGAGUCGUAAAGUUCUUUUAUAUGGGAAGAUAAUGACGGUACCAUAAGAAAAAGCUCCGGCUAACUACGUGCCAGCAGCCGCGGUAAUACGUAGGGGGCUAGCGUUGUCCGGAAUCACUGGGCGUAAAGGGUUCGCAGGCGGAAAUGUAAGUCAGGUGUAAAAGGCAGUAGCUUAACUACUGUAAGCAUUUGAAACUGCAUAUCUUGAGAAGAGUAGAGGUAAGUGGAAUUUUUAGUGUAGCGGUGAAAUGCGUAGAUAUUAAAAAGAAUACCGGUGGCGAAGGCGACUUACUGGGCUCAUUCUGACGCUGAGGAACGAAAGCGUGGGUAGCAAACAGG